UCAACCCUCCAUGCGUACCAGCACUCUCUCUCUCUUCAUCUCUUUUCAUUUUGGUUUCUUUUCUCUCUCUCUACAAAUGUAAGGUGGCUAGUUAUUAGGGAAUUAGUGGAGUGGGUCGAUUUUGGUGGAAAAGAAGCUUGAGCUGAGAAGAACCCUUUUUGGAGCUCGGAACCUAAGGUUCGGAAGCUUAGCUCGGAAUUGAGCACCUGUCAACCUAAUUGAGGGUAAAACAAACGCGUUGGCAAAGUCGGUUCGGCAAUCCAUCGAGCCUACGCGAAGAUAUCGCCAAAAGAAUAUUUUCAGCUACAAUUGUCGGGAGCGCGGGUCGCGAUUCUUGGGAAAGUGCGAGAAGCGGAUUUCUCACAUUCCAGUAUCAAGUAAAGGUGGGUUGUGCUUACCGAAGUGAUUAGGUCACUUCCAUGCCAAAGCAAAGUAUGAAUUCAAUUGACGCAUAUAUGUGUAGCGAUAGUUUAUGAAUAUGAUUAUUGAACUGAAAGCAUGAGUUAUGUAAGUUGCUUAUCAAUAGAAUAUGUACAUGAAUGUAGUGAUAAUCCUGUAUGAUUAUUUAUGUGUAACCAACAUGCUAGAGACAUAUGAAUGCGUGACUUGUGAGUACUA